rnacentral:lncRNA from 1 species
CGUUACAACACACACACACGUUUGCCAGCACGUGCUCACUCCUGGCCACUCCUGGUUAGACACCUUGGCAGCCUUAUUGAUAGUGCUUCAAAAUGCGCAAUUUGGAUGUGGCUAUACUAUCUGUCGGUAAAGCUGGUGAAGGACAAAGCCGAUCUGCACCACAGUCAGACUGGAGCAUGUGAGCAUGAGCAGGCACUCGGGCCCUGUCUUGCACAAAGCGAACGCUGCACAUAUGCACCACAGUUGCAUGUAGUUGCGGUCUGCUAUGUAGCAUAGAUACCGCGGUCGCCACAGGGUGCCGUGACGAGUCCACUGGCUGAGCGCACUGUGCCUUGCUGAGCACAACCACGUUUGGCUUAAAUUUGGCGCAUAGUAGGUGCCAAAAUCGAAAGUAGUGGCGUCUACGUUAACAUCCAAAACCAAACUCAAAUUGCGUGCCACGAUGACGUUCAGUAGGCAGAGCAUUGUGGGCACGCCCCGCUCCGCCGUAGCCUUCACAGAGCAAGGCUUUGAAGAAGGAGCGGAAGCAUUGCGAAGGGCGUGUUUGAUUGCCAGUAACUCUACAUCUGCUGAACGCACUGAAGGAAUUUUUGUAGCAGAGCAUUUCUGGAAUGUCCUAUUUUAACUUCAAAUACAUUUUUCCACUUUGAUAAAAAAAUAGUUCAGGGCCCCUUAAGAAAAAUCGAAACUGCAAUGACAAAA